rnacentral:tRNA from 1 species
GGGGGUAUAGCUCAGUUGGUAGAGCGUCUGAAUGGCAUUCAGAAGGUCAGGAGUUCGAAUCUCCUUACCUCCACCA